CUGCCUACGGGACGCAGCAAUGAGGAAUAUUGGUCAAUGGGCGCAGGCCUGAACCAGCCAAGCCGCGUGAGGGAGGAAGGUACAGAGUAUCGUAAACCUCUUUUGUCAGGGAACAAAGGCGGGGACGUGUCCCUGGAUGAGUGUACCUGAAGAAAAAGCAUCGGCUAACUCCGUGCCAGCAGCCGCGGUAAUACGGAGGAUGCGAGCGUUAUCCGGAUUUAUUGGGUUUAAAGGGUGCGCAGGCGGUCUGUUAAGUCAGCGGUCAAAGCCCGGGGCUCAACCCCGGCCCGCCGUUGAAACUGGCG
rnacentral:rRNA from 1 species